rnacentral:pre_miRNA from 1 species
AUAUGCCUGGCUCCCUGUAUGCCGCUCGCAUGGCUGCCAACCCAAUGAACUCUCGCUGUUGGCCGCUGCGUACGGCGUGCGAGGUGCCAAGCAUGG